GACGAAGGUGGCUAGCGUUGCUCGGGAUUACUGGGCAUAAAGCGCGCGUAGGUGGUCUCGCAAGCGAGGGAUGAAAUCCCAUGGCACACCCAUGGAACUGUCUCUCGGACUGCGAGGCUUGAGGGCGGGAGGGGAGAGUGGAAUUCCCGGUGUAGCGGUGAAAUGCGUAGAUAUCGGGAGGAACGCCGGUGGCGAAAGCGACUCUCUGGCCCGUUUCUGACACUGAGGCGCGAAAGCUAGGGGAGCAAACAGG
rnacentral:rRNA from 1 species